UACGAAGCGGGCUAGCGUUGUUCGGAAUCACUGGGCGUAAAGCGCACGUAGGCGGACACUUAAGUCAGAGGUGAAAUCCCAAGGCUCAACCUUGGAACUGCCUUUGAUACUGGGUGUCUUGAGGUCGAGAGAGGUGAGUGGAACUGCGAGUGUAGAGGUGAAAUUCGUAGAUAUUCGCAAGAACACCAGUGGCGAAGGCGGCUCACUGGCUCGAUUCUGACGCUGAGGUGCGAAAGCGUGGGGAGCAAACAGG
rnacentral:rRNA from 1 species